ANGGCACCAAACUCGCGACNCUAGCAAANCCCAUAAACCGUGGCUCAGUUCAGAUCGUAGGCUGCAACUCGCCUACGUGAAGUAGGAAUCGCUAGUAAUCGCAGGUCAGCAUACUGCGGUGAAUACGUUCCCGGGCCUUGUACACACCGCCCGUCACACCAUGGAAGUUGGCCACGCCCGAAGUCGUUACUUUAACCCUUGUGGAGAAGGACGCCGAAGGUGGGGCUGAUGACUGGGGUGAAGUCGUAACAAGGUAGCCGUACCUGAAGGUGCGGCUGGAUCACCUCCUAACAGGGAGACAAUAAAUUGAUUGUGAUGUCUAAGUUAUCUAUUCUUAGGCCGCAAUCCUGUCACCUUAAGGUCGAUCGGUACCUCAGAUUUUUGAAUCAGUUUUAUAAUUGAUUCUUUGAUUUCAGUUCCUAAACUUGUCUAGGUCACACCCAACAAAGGUUUCUCCUGGGCCAUUAGCUCAGGUGGUUAGAGCGCACCCCUGAUAAGGGUGAGGUCCCUGGUUCAAGUCCAGGAUGGCCCAUUCGUUGUUGGGGGUAUAGCUCAGUUGGUAGAGCGCCUGCUUUGCAAGCAGGAUGUCAGCGGUUCGAGUCCGCUUACCUCCACUGAAAACUAUCCUGAUAACUAAAUUUCUGGAGAAAAAAAUUGUAGAUGUGGCUUAGAUUUGUCUAUUUGAAAAGAACCCAGCUUCUUGUCAUCUUUUUAUAGUUGAUAAAAUGCUGGGCUCGCAUGGAUUAUUUCCAUGAGAAUUCAGUAGAACCUUGAAAACUGCAUAGAUUAGAAAGAAUAAAGCAUCUCAUGGAUGCAUAGUUCUAUUUUUAUAAUUUAGCCUUAAAACACUAAAUUAUUUAAUUCUAGAAUUCAUGUUUAAUUCUUGAGUAAUAGCCGAGCACAAUUGAUUUUGUGAUUGUAUUUAAGGUCAAGCUACAAAGGGCUCAUGGCGGAUACCUUGGCACACAGAGGCGAUGAAGGACGUGGUUACCUGCGAUAUGUCUCGGGGAGCUGGAUACACGCUUUGAUCCGGGAAUUUCCGAAUGGGGCAACCCUUAGAACGGCCAGCUGAAUACAUAGGCUGGCGCGAGCCAACCCAGCGAAUUAAACAUCUUA
rnacentral:misc_RNA from 1 species